rnacentral:lncRNA from 1 species
GGGCUCCCCACCAGGCCAAGAAGGUGGUCUGUGGCUCCUGCCAUUUGAAUGGGCAUUUCAGAGUCCCUCGACCUACCUGCCCUGCCCAUGCCCAUGAUGUGCCCCCCAUCCUGUGCUUGUGUGGGUGCCACAUGAGAACCCCCAGGUCCACACUGAGAUGUCUCUAUGGUCCCUAGUCAGGCCCCUCUCUCCUGGGAAGAUCCAGGGUUGGAGAGCUCUCUGGUCUAACAGACUCCGCCCUUGGUUGAUGAACAUCGCUUCCUUUUGUCCUGCAUUGCUGGUGUGGACUGCGUUCCUCCGCUGUCCUAUCAGGUACUUCUGUCUAAUUGUACAUUUCAAAGUCCUGGAUAUAUGGAACUUUUUUCUUUAACCACAUGGUAAUCAUCAGUUUUAAUCUCUCACAUUUUGAUUAUAGCAGCUAAAUACAGUUUUCUAUAUGCCAAGCUUAGAUUAAGCCCCACUGUCAUCUGCUUUUUUUACACACGUCUGUGUUUCAUACAGUCCUCUUUUAUCAGAGCGGGCAGUAAGAGGUAAAGCACAUCUGUGCUACAGAGGGUCACAGACUUGCCUUGUCUCCCAGUUGUGCCUCCGUUCGCUUCAAGGGGCCUUCCUGGCUUAGUUUGUCAAGAUGGCCUGCUGUUCUGCACUAACUGCAACUUGAAGUGAUCACACUGCUGACCAGCGUAACUCUUGAGGGCAGCCGCCUCCCUGGAUGGAGCCUGCUUCUGGUAGGGAUGCCUCUCCUCCGCACAGGUGUUCUCCCUGCUGGACGAGCUUGCCCGCCAUGCCUUUGGUGUUGGAAAAACUGAAUAAAUGCAAAACCUCCAGCUUAAUCUGCUGGUCAAUACGGAUUGCUUUUGGCUAAAAGUUCUGCCAGUGGCCACUAAGGGACAAAGUGUGGAACACCUGUGGCCCUGCAUCAGCCAAUGCCAUCUCUCUCCCCUGGGAACACAGUCCUGGCCUCGGCAUUUACGCACAACAGGGAUUUCUGGGAAAUGGGGAGGGAGGCCACGUGCACGGAGAGCUGUGGGGCAGACUCCACACAGGUCACUUGGCCUCCUGCAUGUUAAGCUGAAAACUGUUUUCUGUCUUGUUGAAAAGAGCUGUCAUUCAGUAGCCAAACUGGUGUAGAUGUCGUCCUUCAGUUCAUGAGGCUCAGCUCACCUAGUCAAUGUCCCAGCAGUGACAACAAUGUCCUCAUGGGCCUUCAUGCGGGGACUCACACUGAUGGAGGAAAGACUCCUCCUUUGGCAGGGUGGCCCCGUCUGAUGUGUACUAAUAAAGGACUGAUGAGAA